GCUGGCGGCGUGCUUACACCUGCAGUCCAAACGAACUUCGGGUUAGUGGCGGACGGGUGAGUAACGCGUGAGAAUCUGCCCUCAGGAGGGGGACAACAGCUGGAAACGGCUGCUAAUACCCCAUAUGCCGCGAGGUGAAAUGAAUUUCGCCUGAGGAUGAGCUCGCGUCUGAUUAGCUAGUUGGUGUAGGUAAUGGCUCACCAAGGCAUCGAUCAGUAGCUGGUCUGAGAGGAUGAUCAGCCACACUGGGACUGAGACACGGCCCAGACUCCUACGGGAGGCAGCAGUGGGGAAUUUUCCGCAAUGGGCGAAAGCCUGACGGAGCAACGCCGCGUGAGGGAUGAAGGCCUCUGGGCUGUAAACCUCUUUUAUCAAGGAAGAAGAUCUGACGGUACUUGAUGAAUAAGCCACGGCUAAUUCCGUGCCAGCAGCCGCGGUAAUACGGGAGUGGCAAGCGUUAUCCGGAAUUAUUGGGCGUAAAGCGUCCAGCAGGCGGCCUUCAAGUCUGCUGUUAAAAAGUGGAGCUUAACUCCAUCAUGGCAGUGGAAACUGUUGGGCUUGAGUGUGGUAGGGGCACGAGGGAAUUCCCGGUGU
rnacentral:rRNA from 1 species